AAAAAAAAGUGUAUUGUUUUCAUACACAAAUUUCAAGAGCAAUUUCCCAGUGUUUCUCUUUCCUAAGUUCCAGAAUGAAUCCAAUAUAGAAGACAUUAGUCUUGUGGAUCUUGACAGAGAGCAGCCAGAGGCUCAAACCAUCUUCCUGGGAAAUGUGUCGAGCAAUGCGUCCACAGCCAUUCAGAAGCAGUGCCUGUGUUAUGGCUGCUGCCUGGGUCUGCACUCAGGAUUGGAGAAGCCUGUAGUCACCCUGAGCUGCCUGUGCACGCCCAUAUCGGAAAACAUCCACAGCUGCCAGGUAGCAAUCUGAGCAGGAGUGGCUGGUCUGAUGGGCCAAGAUCGCAGGGACCGAGCAGGCAACUGGCCAAGCCCUGGGGAUGAAAUACAAAAAUUCAAGGCUUUCAAAGAACACAGAUUAAAGCAGAAUGAAGAGAGGAAGUACUAGAUCUCCAAGGACAGACAGUUUACCGCAUCAUAUAAUUUCAAAAAGAUGAGUCCCAGCUGGGGAAGGAGGAGCCUUGCCACACCUUGGUGAGCAAUCUACGGCAUCUGGCCCUGAGAGCAAAGAGGUAUGUUGGGGCUUGCGUGGCACAUAGGAGGGCAGACCCGGCAUGCAGUGGUUCCUUCUUAGCUCCAGAACCAUGGGGGAGUGGGUGGGGCUUCUGGAAGUCUCAACUUCAGUUUACUUGGAGAAAGUGCGGUCAAGAAGGCCCCUCUGGCAGUGUGGUAGAGCCAAGAGAAGGGUGGGAGAGAAUAAUGGCUGUUCUUCCCCUUUGCAAGAGAUCACAACUUGAAGCUAUUACGGUGCUUCUAUUGAAAAGUUGAGUUUAAGAUUUAGCAAGGCCUUCUUUGGGAGGUGGCAGACAAAGAAUGUGGCUUGGAUUUCUUUCACUGUGGACAACAGGAGUGACUUCUGUGGCCUGUACUUUGUCUGUUCUUUCUGCUGCUCAGAUCAGGUCACUACCCAGCCUGGGAUGGGUUCUCCUGAGCAUGUCCACCCUGUGGACUUCUAGAAAUUCUUCAAGGAGAGCCCUGGUGUGUUGAGGAAAAGCCUGAAGAAGGCCAUUCAUUAUGCUGAGACCAGGUAAGUGUCAGAUGCUAGGAAGGCUUGGGCAUUCUCAACAGUUCAAAGGUCA